rnacentral:rRNA from 1 species
AGAGUUUGAUCAUGGCUCAGAUUGAACGCUGGCGGAAUGCUUUACACAUGCAAGUCGAGCGGCAGCGCGGGGGCAACCCUGGCGGCGAGCGGCGAACGGGUGAGUAAUGCAUCGGAACGUACCCAGUCGUGGGGGAUAACGUGGCGAAAGUCACGCUAAUACCGCAUACGUCCUGAGGGAGAAAGCAGGGGAUCGCAAGACCUUGCGCGAUUGGAGCGGCCGAUGUCCGAUUAGCUAGUUGGUGGGGUAAAGGCCUACCAAGGCGACGAUCAGUAGCUGGUCUGAGAGGACGAUCAGCCACACUGGGACUGAGACACGGCCCAGACUCCUACGGGAGGCAGCAGUGGGGAAUUUUGGACAAUGGGCGAAAGCCUGAUCCAGCCAUUCCGCGUGAGUGAAGAAGGCCUUCGGGUUGUAAAGCUCUUUCGGCAGGAACGAAACGGCCGUUUCUAAUAAAGACGGCUAAUGACGGUACCUGAAGAAGAAGCACCGGCUAACUACGUG